CCGUCACAACGGCUUCCUGGCGUGAUGGCAUACCCCAAUGGAGCA
rnacentral:ncRNA from 1 species